rnacentral:rRNA from 1 species
GACGGAAGGUGCAAGCGUUGCUCGGAAUCACUGGGCGUAAAGCGUGCGUAGGCGGCUGCGCAAGUCGGUUGUGAAACCCCGGGGCUCAACCCCGGAACUGCAUCCGAUACUGCGUGGCUAGAGGUAGGUAGGGGAGAUCGGAAUUCCUGGUGUAGCGGUGAAAUGCGCAGAUAUCAGGAGGAACACCGGUGGCGAAGGCGGAUCUCUGGGCCUUACCUGACGCUCAGGCACGAAAGCUAGGGGAGCGAACAGG